rnacentral:rRNA from 1 species
GACGAACGCUGGCGGCGUGCUUAACACAUGCGAGUCGAACGGAAAGGCCCUGCUUUUGUGGGGUGCUCGAGUGGCGAACGGGUGAGUAACACGUGAGUAACCUGCCCUUGACUUUGGGAUAACUUCAGGAAACUGGGGCUAAUACCGGAUAGGAGCUCCUGCUGCAUGGUGGGGGUUGGAAAGUUUCGGCGGUUGGGGAUGGACUCGCGGCUUAUCAGCUUGUUGGUGGGGUAGUGGCUUACCAAGGCUUUGACGGGUAGCCGGCCUGAGAGGGUGACCGGCCACAUUGGGACUGAGAUACGGCCCAGACUCCUACGGGAGGCAGCAGUGGGGAAUAUUGCACAAUGGGCGGAAGCCUGAUGCAGCAACGCCGCGUGCGGGAUGACGGCCUUCGGGUCGUAAACCGCUUUCGCCUGUGACGAAGCGUGAGUGACGGUAAUGGGUAAAGAAGCACCGGCUAACUACGUG